UUCGUCAACAUUGAAAGCGUUGGAUACCCAAUUAUAUUUUUUCUAUAAAUUCUUGACGGUUUUAUACCGUACCGUGUUCUUACUAUGAUUCUCUUCUACUUUAUAAUGGCGUGAUUCUGAUUUUGGUUACUGAAGCCCAAUGAAUCAAUAAUUCAUUCUUAAAAGACUUUUACACUUAAAAGAAGCAAUUGUUCCUUGGAUUUAAGGUUAAAAAUUUUUUGCUACUUUUCAUUACUAUUUAAAGUAAGGAGAACAAUUAAGAUUGGUGAAGUUUAGUUUUCUUGUGUGCAUUUGUUUUGUUGACUUUUUAAAGAUAUUCUUUUGGUUGGCCAUUCCUGUAUCCUAUUGCAAACUCUUUCAGAUUGAAUCAAAAGCCCACCGACUUGUCAAACUGCAAACGUAUCGUCGAAGACGUCUUUUAAAAGAAUGAGUAUUUUGCAUCUUACAUGUUAAAACAAAAAAUAAUAUAGUUUUUAGACAAGCUGUUAUCAACAGUUGCUGAAAGCAAUGAUAAAGAUUUAUCUGUGAUUUAAGGAAGCUGACAUAGGCUAUGAAAAUAAACUUUUGAAAAUUGUAGAAUGAAGAACUGGAAAAGAAGACGGAAUGGUGGCUUCAGUGUUGCUGCACAUUCACCUUUGGAUAUUAUUCGAAGAGCUUGCAUUUACUAGGAUCCGGUUUGAGAAACAUUUCGAUUCACUCGUUCAUGGAUGCUUAGAAAUCUGUCUGUAGGUGGUAGAAUUUGUUCACGAGAUGAAGAUGUUCCCAAUUCUCACUCUGUCAUGUGAGAUCGCUAGGCGCUUGACACUAAGAAAGUAAGGUAAUAAAUACCAUUGGUUACGACUACAUAUUACUUUUUUCUUCUACACUUAUCAACUGUCACAUAUCAAUCUGUCACACGGGAUGAGGAUCUGGCCCGUGACACUAAGAAAGAUUGUGGACUGCACUUUUUAUUUAUCGUAAUUUUUUAUCGGGAUGAUUGUUGGUGCUGUGCGCCAAUUUCUUUAACUUGAAAUAUUUGAAAUAUUUUCAAAAAAGCCGACUGUCCUUCAAACGUUUCGAAAUGGACAAAAAUUUCUUCAUUCACCGAAGAAAGAGAAACGAGUCAAAUGACUCAAAUGUCAAUUAUUGCAGGCUCAUCCCCAACAACGUCAACCUGCAGAAGGAAAGGCAAGUUUGCAUGUCCUUCACGUUCGAAGGUCACGGAGAUCAUUACGUAGAACUUGUCAUGCAGUGGGUUAGAGGUUGGGUGAGAACGGUAUGUGGUACAUAACCAUUUUGUAUUCAUUUUUAUAUUGGUUGUUGUAGACCCAUUCUCCAGAUGUAUUCCAACGUCAACUUACAAAUGGCCUUCAUACUCGAUUACUCGAAGGUCACGCAUAUCAUGACGUAAAACGUGUCACACAAUGGUGUAGAGGGUGGGUGAGAAAGGAACAUGAUUCAUCAUUGUCAAGCAGGUACAAUAGCCGAAGGGUUAAGAGGUUAGGGUGAGAAAAAAAAAAUCGUACAAAAGGAGAGAGAAAAGGCGAUAAAAAUCAGUCGAGUGAAAAUCUCCGACGCGGUAACAACUGCAGCGCACUAUUGUUACCAACUUCUUUCUUCAUCGUAUUAUCAGUUCGAAAUCAUGGGUGUAUAUUCUGUUGUUUUUUCACAUAGUUUUGUUUUAAUGCUACUAUUGAAUAGUUGUUAAUAUGCGAGUUAUUGUUGAAUUUUAAUGUUUAAAUUUAUUAAUUGUCCUGGUUAUCUAUGGCGUCGUCCUGCUGUUGGGUGUUGUGGUGUGUACCGAUGUCUCCUUGGGAUGGUGGAUAACAAACCACUGCGCCGCUGCCUAAUUACACAACAACGACAUACGAAACAGCCGGUUGUUUCAUUACCAAGGCUCCAGAGUUUAAACUAUAACUUGUGAUGCCCCAAGCUACUACACCGACGCCCCAAGCUACAUUACCAAAGAGACUGAGUACUACACCAAGGCGCCCAAUUGCUACACCUCUAUGGCACCGCAAUACUACACGAUUACGUAUGCUGCCCAAUCCUACUACUACACCGAGGCUCCCAAGUACUACUCUGUUCACAGCUACUCCACCGAGGAUUCGGCUCAUUACUCCACCAAAACGGUUGAAUACUACACCGGAGCUUCCAAGAACUACUCUGCCCCGAUUUACACAACCACAACUGAUGCGCCCAAGUAUUACGCAGCCCCGACUUACUACACAGAAGCUGCUCCUUCGAACUACGUUGAACACAAAUACUACACAGAUGUUCCAGUUAACUACACCACAACCUACGCUACAUGUCGCAGCUCCCGUUUUCACGCCUUUUUGUUGACUCAUUUCUAACACUGGAUAUUUAGUUGAAGGAAAAUGCGAAUGUCCCUGAAUACGAUGUUGUUUUGGGACUUGCUUUCCGACUCGGACACUUAUGCGUCGGCUUCAUCGCUUUCGCUUAUCGACCGAUAGGUACUUGGACAAUGCUACCAGAUUGGACGCCUUCAGCGACAGACUGUAAGGAGACCGACUCUACGCCGUAACAAGGUAAUAUUUUACUCCACCCUCCCGAGAUUUGAAUUUUGAAGAAAGCAAUCCGGGUGAGAAAAAUCGCAUAAAACGAGAGAAAAGACGACAGAAGAAAAGACAGUCGAUCGAGCAUCUCCGACACGGCAACAACAGCAGCGCUUUAAUUGUCACCAACUGCGUUCUUCGUCGUAUUAAAAAAGUUCUCAAUCAUGGACCCAUUCCAAUCCCCGGCAAUGUCAACCUGUAGAAGGAAAGGACAGUAUGCAUUCUUCACGCUCGAAGGUCACGGAGAUUAAUACGUAAAUGCAAUGGUGUAGAGGUUGGGCGAGAACUGGACGUGCUGCAUCAUUGUCAGGCAGGACUUGGUGAUAAUGUGAUGCAUCUGACUUGGUGACAAUGAUGUACCAUCCUGCUGCAUGCAGUCAUGUCGAAGCUAGACUUUAAGUAGAGCUGCAAAAAUAUUCAUAGAAAUGAAUGGUGAAAAUGUUCAGCGGUUUCGUAGUCUGGUUCCUAUUCUAAUUUUUAUCCUUGCACUGGUGUCCUUGCAGUAACUGAAGCUGGUGUCCUUCCAGUAACUAAUGCUGGUGUCAUCCUGAUGUUGCAGUGAAAUUCAUGUUGAUAACAAUAUUUUUAUCUGUAUUUGUGUUUCAUCCUGUGUAUGUGAUUGAAGAUACCGAUGCGUUUUUACUCUCCGAUAUAAUAUGUUGCAACAAACGUUAAAACUGGUCAUUCUAUAUGAUGUAAUUACCUCAACCCUAAUUAGGCCAGUUAGUUAUUAAAUGUAUAACAAAGUCAAACCUGCAAUGUUUUGUUAUGCUUGUAAAUUUAUUAUUGAAAUCAGUUUUGCAUAAUGUUAAAUGUUGCAACAAAUACAAAAACGCCGA